rnacentral:misc_RNA from 1 species
GCAAACUUGGUCAUUUAGAGGAAGUAAAAGUCGUAACAAGGUUUCCGUAGGUGAACCUGCGGAAGGAUCAUUAAUGAGUAAGGGUCUCGAUUUAUACAGAGCCCGACCUCCAACCCUUUGUCUACCUUACCAAUGUUGCUUCGGCGAGCCCGCUUCGAAAGAGGCCGCCGGAGGGUCGUUAAACACUCUCUGGUCAGUGCUCGCCGGUGGCCCCAAUUAAAACUCUUGUUAAGAACUUGUCUAAGUAUAAACAAACAAAUAAGUAAAAACUUUCAACAACGGAUCUCUUGGUUCUGGCAUCGAUGAAGAACGCAGC